CCUACGGGAGGCAGCAGUGAGGAAUAUUGGUCAAUGGGCGCAAGCCUGAACCAGCCAAGUCGCGUGAGGGAUGACGGUCCUCUGGAUUGUAAACCUCUUUUGUCGGGGAGCAAGGCCCGCCACGUGUGGCGGGAAGGAGAGUACCCGCAGAAAAAGCAUCGGCAAACUCCGUACCAGCAGCCGCGGUAUUACGGAGGAUGCGAGCGUUAUCCGGAUUUAUUGGGUUUAAAGGGUGCGUAGGCGGAAGGUUAGGUAAGCGGGCAAAUGUCGGUGCUAACCACCGGCCUGCCGUUGAAACUGGUCUUCUAGAGUGAUCGAGAAGGAUGCGGAAUGCGAGGUGUAGCGGUGAAAUGCAUAGAUAUCACGCAGAACACCGAUUGCGAAGGCAGCAGACCGGCGCUCAACUGACGCUGAGGCACGAAAGCGUGGGGAGCGAACAGGAUUAGAUACCCGUGUAGUC
rnacentral:rRNA from 1 species